AAAGAAUUCAUUUACGUGGUUUGGUCCAAGACCAAGGGUGAACAUUACGGACCCUGAAAAAAUAAGAGAAAUACUUAACAAAUUUAAUGACUUCCAGAAGGUACGUACCAAUCCACUGCUUAAUUUGCUUGUAAGCGGCCUUGCUAACCUCGAAGGAGACCGAUGGAGCAAGCGUAGAAAAAUCAUAAACCCUGCAUUUCAUCAAGAUAAGUUGAAGGUAUAGAAUAGUGAUGGGUACUCAAGACUUUACAGAAAACAUCAUACUUAAACCUGAGCUUUUCUGAUUUAGAAAUAAUUGGAUGCAGAAUAUGUUGCCAGCAUUUUAUCAAAGUUGUAGUGACAUGUUAAGAAAAUGGGAGAAGAUGGUGUGUACAGAAGGAUACAGUGAGUUAGAUGUGUGGCCUUAUCUCGUAGAUUUGACAAGAGAUGUGAUUUCCCGAUCUGCUUUUGGAAGCAGCUUCGAAGAAGGCAAACGAAUUUUCCAAUUACUAGAGGACCAACUCGUUCUCACAAUCAAAUUAAUACAAACUGUUUACAUUCCAUGAUGGAGGUAACCCUCAACUUAAUUUACUUGAAAAAGGUUGCAAAUGUUGGAAUUCGCUAAAUUCGUGUUUGUUUUCUUGAAGGUUUUUGCCAACAAAGACAAACAGGGAGAUGAAGAUGAAACACAGAGACAUAAAAGAGUCGCUUAGGGAAAUGAUAAAGAGAAGAGAGAAGGCAAUUAAAGCAGGGGAAGAGAGCAAUGAGGACUUGUUGGACAUACUUGUGGAAUCCAAUAUCAGAGAAAUGGAAGCAAAGAAUAUGGGGAUGAGCAUUGAGGAUGUGAUUGAGGAAUGCAAGCUGUUUUACUUUGCUGGCCAAGAGACCACUUCGGUCUUACUGGUGUGGACUAUGGUUUUAUUAGCAAGGUAUCCCGAUUGGCAAAGUAAAGCAAGAGAGGAGGUUUUGCAUGUUUUGGGUGACAGUAAACCUGAUGCUGAUGGCCUUAAUCGUCUCAAAGUUGUAAGUCCCUAGCAUGUCUUUUGAAGGUCCGAUCAAUGAGGUCGACAACUCAAAAACUUGGUUUUUUUUGUUUCGCUAAUUCUACAGGUAACAAUGAUAUUGUACGAGGUUCUAAGGUUGUACCCACCAGUGGUUGAGCUAGGACGUUCCGUUCCAAAAGAAAUAAAACUGGGGAAUUUGUUGUUACCAGCAGGAGCAGAAGUUUCGGUUCCGAUCCUGCAGAUCCACCAUGACAAAGAUCUUUGGGGUGACGACGCACGGGAAUUUAAGCCAGAGCGGUUGGCGGAAGGGGUUUCCAAAGCAACAAAGAGUCAAGUCACGUUUCUGCCAUUCGGAUGGGGUCCUAGGAUCUGUAUUGGCCAAAAUUUUGCCAUGAUGGAAGCCAAAAUGGCGAUGGCUAUGAUUCUCCAACGCUUCUGGUUCGAGCUUUCCCCUUCCUAUGCUCACUCUCCUUACAGCAGGGCAACUCUUCGUCCACAGCAUGGUGCACAGAUAGUUUUACAUAAACUUGGCUCUAAUUGAAUUGUUAUGUAAACAGAUCUUUUUGAAAAUAUAGCGUUUUAGUGUAUCGUCAAAGUCCGGUGUCUGUAAUGGUACAAUUCCGAUGCAUGAAUAGUAAAUUUUAAGAUGUUUGGUUAAGUCCGAAAUAAUAUGCAGAAAUUGAGUGUCUUGAAUGGAUGUAGUAUUUAAUGGUGGACAUAGUUGAGGGAUUAAUGUGGUAAUUAUCGAACAAAUAAUUGCAUAUGGUACAAAGACUUAUAUGGAAAUUAGAGCGGGGGGAGUAGAAAAUGACUACUUUGCUUUGGGCAUCAAUUUAGAAAGAUUUAAAGUACAAAUGUAUUAUUAGUUUAAAGGAUUUGUUUUAAAGAAGGAAUGACAAUUAAACCUCAUGGUUGAUUUGUGGAAGGGAACCGAUGAUGGGAUGAUUAUUCUUAGUGGUAAAAAAAAAACUAUUAAGGAGGUUAUUAUACUUGUUAUCAAUUUCUCAAAAUUUGAAUGGGUUUAAGUCAGAUUAUAUCGAGCUUGUUAGAUGAGUUCACGGACCAAGCUUGCAUGAUAAUGGCUGCUUACAGAAAUGUAUCUAUAGUUUUCUACAAAGUCAUAUGUGAAAUUAUGCAUUGGUACCGCAUAAACAUGUUUUAUGUCUAGAAUAUUAUACGUGUCUAUGUGCAUGGAAUCUACCUAGUAUAUCAUAUCAAUGAACAGUAUCAAUGGUGGACCUCAAAAGUAUUUUUGGGGGAUCAGAAUUAAACUGUAUGUUUUUAUGAAAGUAAAAAUUUAAUUUCACUAUUUUAUAGUCAAUUUCUUUUUAAUUUUUGAAGGAUUAAAUCAAAUUUUUAUAAAUUUUUAGGAGGUUGAAGUACAAUUUUAUCAUUACUAAUUUAAAAUUUUAUAAAUUAUAAAAAAUAUAAAUAAAAAAUUUUAUAUUUUAGGAUAGCCAAGGCUCCUGCCAACUCUAACUCACUGAAUAGUAUAAAUAAAUAAAUACCAUCAUCUAAAAUAUGGGUAAGUGUCCAAAAUAUGAUUUUGGUGAAAAUAUGUAGGGUUGGUCUCAUGGAAGUGUAAAGACAAGAACCCCGCUAAUGUAUGGGAUGUGUAAAGUUGAAUCUAGGGAGCAAAUAGGAGUGAAUCAUUUUGGUAACAUUUGGACAAGAAACAUAAUGAACAAAAUGAAAGGAGAGGAAGCUAGUAAAAGAUUUUUUUGGGUCAUAUAAUUUGUUUGGCAUAUAUUUUUAUAAUUUUUAAAUAUCAUUUUGGAGUUGAAUUAUAACUUUUUUUUAUAUAUUAUCUUAAAAUUUUAUAAAAUUUAAGGAGUUAAAACGUAAUUAUUCCAUGGGUCAGAGCUGCCCUCGCUUUGCAUUUCUUUGAGAUUCAGCCUUAUCUCAAUUGAGGGUUGAGUAGAAAGAUUUGGUGGAGCAAGCAAAGCUAUCAAUCAAGGUUGGAGAAAGCUUAGGAGGUCACAAUGCAUAAUUAUUUAAAUGUAAUUCUAAUAUUUAAAUAAAAUUUAUUAAUAUAAUAUCAGCAAGUGUUAAAUAUAAUGAUCAGAUACCAUUAUAUUUUUAGAAAGAGAAAAUAUGUUUAAACCUUAAAAACGGCGUUACUAAAAAUAAUAAUCACAAAUCUUGAAAUAUAAAAAAUAAAUUUUUUAAUAUAAUUAAAAUUUAAUUUGAAAGCCGAGCUGGAUAAAAUUCUAAUUUUAGAUAAUGGUACCAACAACAAAUCAAUAUUUAAAUUAAAAUUAAUCUAAAUUUAAUAUAAUCAAAUUGGACUCUAAUAUUAAAUUUAAUAUAAUCAAGGUUCAUGAACUUUAUACCCUAUGCUUUACGUAAUUGAAAAAAAAAUCAUUGGACAUAAAAGUCUACGAAAAGUUUCACUAUAUUAAUAAAUAAAUAAAUAAAAAAUAUUGCUACAAGAUUACAACACAAAGUUACAAUAAGAGCUUAUAACUUAACAAAGGCUAUCAAUAAAUAAUCUCAAACAAACUAAAGAGAAAUAUUGAGAGUCCCACCAAAUAGUGAUUGCCUUUAAAAGUUAAAAACUCGAAGUUAUAGUAUCUCAAAUGAAAUUAAACCAUGAACAUUAAAUUUUUCGAGUCUACUAGCUACUGUAAAAAAUUGAGCUCCAACGGACAACAAAUGAACCUUUGAUCGAAGAAAAUACGAAAAUUAGUCUCGGUAAAUCAAGCUGCCAAACUUACUUUUUAUCUUAUCUUUAAUUUGUAAUAAAAUUCAAAAUUAAGGUUUUGUUUGUUUCACUUAGAACAACUUUCAAAAAAUUAAUUUUGGAAAAUGGAUUGAUUUUUCGAAAUAGAUGAUAUUUUAUUGUGUAAAAAUUUUAUUUGUUGUUUGAUGAACUUUUUUUUAAAUCAUUUUUUUAGAAUUAUUUUUAGUGAAACAAAUAUAUCAUAAAUAUAUUUGUUACAAAAUAUUAUAUUAGUAUUUUCUUUUGACAAUUAAAGUUUAUUUUAUGAUAAGACAAUAUUUUAUAAUAAUUAAUAUCAUAUAUACUUAAUAAUAAAUCAUGUCUAAUUAAAAUUUAAGUUAAAUUAAAUAUAUUAAUAAAGCUACAUAUAAUCAUAUUUUAUAUAAUUAAAAUAUUAAUAUAAAUAUUUUUCAAUAAGAUAUUAAAGAAUAUUUAAAAUUUAAAUUUAUUAUUACUAAAAUUAAUUAUUAAAAUAAAAAUGUAAUAUUAAAUAAUUUAUCUAAUGAUAAGUUAUAUUAAUAAUUUAUUAUAUCAUUAAAUAAAAAUAAUUAAAUAUGUAUGUUUAAUAAUAUUAUGUUAUAAUAUUCAUUAUUAAUAUCUUAAUAUUCUUAAACAGCCGUGUCUCAAAGAUGGUUGUGAUGGUGAUGUGAUGAUGCAGCCCCCCUUCUUACAAUUACAAUAAUUUUUAGUGCAAUAAUUAAAGUUGCUGAGUGGUAAAGUAAACUUCUUUUGACUGAGAUGCAUGUAAUAUAUGGAUGUUGAGGUUUUAGACUGCGCCAUCUUUAAAGGGGUUAAAUUAUAUAUUUAUAUAAUAUGAUUAUUGUUUAUGAAUAUAAUAUUAUAGAUAAGUUUUUAUACAUAUUAAUAUGUAUUUUAUUUUAAUGUUAAUAUGUAGUUUUUUAGAUGUGGAUUCACCUAUAUAAUGAUAUGAACUCAUUAUGCAGUCUCAUGAAAUAUGCAAACACAUAUAGUGUAAAUAUAAAGUAUGAACCACCAAAAGUACAGAUCAACACCUAAUUGAAUAAUUGGAUAACAGAUAGGUAAUAAUAAAUAUCAUUCACUAUCCCCUCUUGUUUUAAUUUAUUUUAUUUCCAGUGAGUUAUUUUUUUUAUGAUAAAUUUGCAACAAAUGUUUUUAUCAUUAUUUUGUUGGUAAAUGAUAAUAAGAUUAAAUUUACUUUCGUAAGCUCCUUCAAUUCUUUGGAGUUAGUGGUUUUUUAUUCUGAUCUUUUUUUCUUAUUAAAUUUUUUAUAAUAAAUGUGUUUAUAGAUGAGGUUAGAUUAUAAUUGAAUUAUUUUAUAGCAUUAACAUAAUUUAGAUGGAUUAAAAUUUAUUCUACUAAAAAUAUAAAUUUAAAAUUUUACUUCAAUUUAUCUUAAUUUAUAAAUGAUGAAUUUAAAUUUACUUUUUCCCCAUUAUAUUCAAUUUUCCACAUAAUAUUUGGCCUAGAACAAAAACUAGAACAAUAAAACAAAUAUAAACUAUGCUACAAAGAGUAUACAGCUACAGAAAGCUGAAAUGUUUUCCAAAAAUUAUAUUGUUAACUUUUAAAAAAAAUAUUUUAGCUAUUUAUCAUCAUGAAGAAAAAAGAUACAGUCAUGCACCUGGCCUCAUGCUUCAACACCUCAACCUAGAUUCUCAUCACCUGUAUUUAUCAUCGAUUCAGAUCUUUAUUUUUACUAUAUUCUAGAUCUCCCUAUAAAUAUAUCUUCAAACUUCCUUUGGUUAAGUUCAUUCAUAGAUGGGUGAGUAAACUUGAGCUUCAGCUUUCCACAAACACCUUAAUUUGAAGACACUGUUCUCUCAUGCUAAAAACCACAUGGACGUUUACCAUGUAAUUAGAGAGUUGGUUUCAUUGCUUGUUGUUGGGUUAUUAAUGAUAUGGGGAUGGAGAGCUUUAAACUGGGUAUGGCUGGCUCCAAAGAGGCUCGAAAGGUGCUUGAGACAACAGGGUUUAGCAGGGAAUUCUUACAGGUUCCUUUCUGGUGACAUAAAAGAGCUCUUCACUAUGAGCAGACAAACAAGAGCCAAACCUAUGCCUCUUAGUGAUGAUAUUGGGCCUUAUGUUGUUCCUUUUCAACAUCAAACUGUCAACCAGUAUGGUAUGUUUUUUUGUUUAAUCUGCAAUUUAUGAUAAUUCUUUUUUAUUUAUGUAUGGAAUUUAUUGGGAGGAAAUGCAGGAAAGAAUUCAUUUACGUGGUUUGGUCCAAGACCAAGGGUGAACAUUACGGACCCUGAAAAAAUAAAAGAAAUACUUAACAAAUUUAAUGACUUCCAGAAGGUACGUACCAAUCCACUUGUUCAUUUGCUUGUAAGCGGCCUUGUUAACCUCGAAGGAGACCGAUGGAGCAAGCAUAGAAAAAUCAUAAACCCUGCAUUUCAUCAAGAUAAGUUGAAGGUAUAGAAUAGUGAUGGGUACUCAGACUUUAAAGAAAACAUCAUACUUAAACCUAUGCUUUUCUGACUUAGAAAAUAAUUGGAUGCAGAAUAUGUUGCCAGCAUUUUAUCAAAGUUGUAGUGACAUGUCAAGCAAAUGGGAGAAGAUGGUGUGUACAGAAGGAUACUGUGAGUUAGAUGUGUGGCCUUAUCUCGUAGAUUUGACAAGAGAUGUGAUUUCCCGAUCUGCUUUUGGAAGCAGCUUCGAAGAAGGCAAACGAAUUUUCCAAUUACCAGAGGACCAACUCGUUCUCACAAUCAAAUUAAUACAAACUGUUUACAUUCCAGGAUGGAGGUAACCCUCAACUUAAUUUACUUGAAAAAGGUUGCAAAUGUUGGAAUUCGCUAAAAGCGUGUUUGUUUUCUUGAAGGUUUUUGCCAACAAAGACAAACGGGGAGAUGAAGAUGAAAUACAAAGACAUAAAAGAGUCGCUUAGGGAAAUGAUAAAGAGAAGAGAGAAGGCAAUUAAAGCAAGGGAAGAGAGCAAUGAGGACUUGUUGGACAUACUUGUGGAAUCCAAUAUCAGAGAAAUGGAAGCAAAGAAUAUGGGGAUGAGCAUUGAGGAUGUGAUUGAGGAAUGCAAGCUGUUUUACUUUGCUGGCCAAGGGACCACUUCGGUCUUGCUGGUGUGGACUAUGGUUUUAUUAGCAAGGCAUCCCGAUUGGCAAAGUAAAGCAAGAGACGAGGUUUUGCAUGUUUUGGGUGACAGUAAACCUGAUGCUGAUGGCCUUAAUCGUCUCAAAGUUGUAAGUCCCUAGCAUGUCUUUUGAAGGUCCGAUCAAUGAGGUCGACAACUCAAAAACUUGGUUUCUUUGUUUCGCUAAUUCUACAGGUAACAAUGAUAUUGUACGAGGUUCUAAGGUUGUACCCACCAGUGGUUGAGCUAGGACGUUCCGUUCCAAAAGAAAUAAAACUGGGAAAUUUGUUGUUACCAGCAGGAACAGACGUUUUGGUUCCAAUCCUGCAGAUCCACCAUGACAAAGAUCUUUGGGGCGACGACGCACGGGAAUUUAAGCCAGAGCGGUUCACGGAAGGAGUUUCCAAAGCAACAAAGAGUCAAGUCACGUUUCUGCCAUUCGGAUGGGGUCCUAGGAUCUGCAUUGGCCAAAACUUUGCCAUGAUGGAAGCCAAAAUGGCGAUGGCUAUGAUUCUCCAACGCUUCUGGUUCGAGCUUUCCCCUUCCUAUGCUCACUCUCCUUACAGCAUGGCAACUCUUCGUCCACAGCAUGGUGCACAGAUAAUUUUACAUAAACUUGGCUCUAAUUGAAUUGUUAUGUAAAUAAAUCUUUGUGAAAAUAUAUAGCUUGUUAGUGUAUCGUCAAAGUCCGGUGUCUGUAAUGGUACAAUUCCGAUGCAUGAAUAGUAAAUUUUGAGAUGUUUAGUGAAGUCCGAAAUAAUAUGCAGAAAUUGAGUGUCUUGAAUGGAUGUAGUAUUUAAUGGUGGACAUAGCUGGGGGACUAAUGUGGUAAUUAUCGAACAAAUAAUUGCAUAUGGUACAAAGACUUGUAUGGAAAUUAGAGCAGGGGGAGUAGAAAAUGACUACUUUGCUUUGGGCAUCAAUUUAGAAAGAUUUAAAGUACAAAUGUAUUAUUAGUUUAAGGGAUUUGUUUUAAAGAAGGAAUGACAAUUAAACCUUAUGAUUGAUUUGUGGAAAGGAAUCGAUGAUGGGAUGAUUACUUUUAGUGGUAAAAAAAACUAUUAAGGAGGUUAUUAUAUUUGUUAUCACCGGCCCAAAAUUUAAAUGUAGUCACGUCAAAUUAUAUCGAGCUCGCAAUAUGAGUUCACGGACCAAGUUUGCAUGAUAAUAGGUGUUCACAUAAAGGUAUUUAUAGUUUACUGCAAAGUCACAUGUGAGAUCGUGCAUUGGAACCGAAUAGACAUGUUUUAUGUUUAGAAUAUGAUACGUGUCUAUGUGCAUAGAAUCUACCUAGUAUAUCAUAUCAAUGAAUAGUAUCAAUUGCGGAGCCAAAAUUUUUUUGAGGGGUAAGAAUUAAAUUGUAUAUUUUUACUAAAAUAAAAAUUCAAUUUUACUAUUUUAAUAGUUUAUUUCUUUUUAAUUUUUAAAUGAUUAAAUCAAAUUUUUAUAAAUUUUUAGAGAUCAAAAUAUAAUUUUAUCAUUACUAAUUUAAAAUUUUAUAAAUUAUAAAGUAUUUAAAUAAAAAAAUUUCCUAUUUUAGGGUGACCAAGGUCCUGCCAACUUCCUACUCGAUCACUGAACAGUAUAAAUAAAUACCAUCAUCUAAAAUACUCAAGAAAAACACUCAAGGAUAAAUAGAGAGAUGUUGGGUAAGUGUCCAAAAUAUGAUUUAAGUGAAGAUACGUGUGGUAGGUGUCAUGGAAAUGUAAAGACAAGAAUCCCACUAAUGUAUGGGAUGUGUACACUUGAAUGUAGGGAGCAAAGAGGAGCGAAUCAUUGUGGUAACAUUUGGACAAGAAAUAAUGAACAAAAUGAAAGGAGAGGAAGCUAGUAAAAGAUUUUUUUGGGUCAUAUAAUUUGUUUGGUAUAUAUUUUUUUAAUUUUUAAAUAUCAUUUUGGAGUUGAAUUAUAGUUUCUUUUUAUGUUUUAAAACAUAAUUAUUUUAUUUUUAGAGUGUCAAAGUAGAGGUGAGCAUGGAUCAGACUACUCGGCUCGGCCGGAAGAUCUGUCUGAAAUGUGAGAGGUUUGAGCAAAAAUAUAGGCAAAAAAAAUGGGCUUGGACAAAAAAUAUAAGGCUCGUUUAGAAAAUGGGUCGGGCCUUGAGUAAGACAUUUUUGGCCUCGAGCCUGGCCCGGCUUGAAUUCACUAAAGGACAAAAAAAAUUAAUUUUUUAAAUAUUAUUUUCUUGUUAUUUUCUUCCUAUUUUGCUACCAUUGUACUAUUAUGUUACUACUAUUUUGUUGUUAUUGUUUGGAUAUUGUAUAAACCUUAUUUUAUUGUUAAUUUUGUUAUUAUUUUAAAGACAUUUGUUAAUUUUGUUAUUAUUUUAGAGACAUUUGCUUGUUAAGUUGCAUCUAUCUUAGUGUUAUUUAAGUAUACAUAUUUUUUAAAAUUUAUUUUCAAUUUGUUGGAAAAUAUUUAUUUUAUAUUUUUAGUAUUUUAGAUGUAUUAUAUAUAUUUUAAAAUUAUAUAAAAAUUAAUAUGGACAGGAGGGUCGAGCCCGAGUUUUAGCAUUUUUAUUCGGGUUAGGCUUGGACAAAAUUUUAAGCCCAUUUUUUGGGCCGAGCCUAACAAACAGUCUUGAAUUUUUAGUUGAGCUUGGCCCGGCCCAUGCUCACCUCUAGUUCAAAGCUGCCCUCGCUUUGCAUUUCUUUGAGAUUCAGUUUUAUCUACUGUUGAUUGGCCACUCAAUUGAGGGUUGAAUAGAAAGAUUUGGUGAAGCAAGCUAAGCUAUCAAUCAAGGUUGGAGAAAGCUUAGGAGAUCACAAUGCAUAAUUAUUUAAAUGUAAUUCUAAUAUUUAAAUAAAAUUUAUUAAUUUAGUAUUAACAAGCCUUAAAUGUAAUGAUCAUAUACUAUUACAUUUUCAAGAAGAAAAAAUAUGUUUGAACCUUAAAAACAACAUUAUUAAAAAUAAUAAUCACAAAUCUUAAAAUAUAAAAAAUAUAAUUAAAAAUUAAUUUUAAACUCGAGCUGUAACAGCCCAAAUUUCAGUGGUGUCGGAAUAGUGAUGUGAGAUCACUAAAUACGACAUGUGAGUUUAGAUAUUAGUAAGUAAAAGUUAAGUGUGAUUUUAGAAAUAUUUUUGAAUUAGUGAAAUUGUGAAUUAAAGAAAAUUUCUAGAUAAAAACGAGGUAUCGAGACCUCUAAUUCAUAAACCAAGCCAUAAAUAUUUUUAGAAAUAUUUAUGGAGUGUUACUAAGUUAGUAUUAAAGUUUUGUUAAGAGAUUUUAACAUUUCAGUAAUUAAUUGAAGAAAAAUGACUAAAUUGAAUAAAGUGUAAAACUAUCAAAUAUGAUUAAAUAGCUUAAGAGAUCAUUAAGGAAUGAGUUAAAAGGUAAAUAGACCCAAAUUAGGUGGGUUGGACGGCAUGAGUGUGCAGGAAAUGUAAAAAAAUCAAGUGUGAACAAAGGGCAAAAGUGAAAAUAGGGUAAAAUUUAAUUGUAAAAUAUGAUGUAGUUGGUAAUUUUAGAGAAUUCAUCAUUUUUCUUCAUCUUCAUCAGCUAAAAACACCAUUAGAGAGCUUUUAAGAAGCUGGUUUUAUAUUUUACAGCAUGUAAGUUCAAUUCUUGAUUAUUUAGUUCAAUUCUUGAUUAUUUCUUGUAAUUUUUGUGUUUUUUGAGACUUUUACAAUUGGGUCCUACUAUUUAACUUAUUAGUUUUUGCUUUUAUGAAUGGUUUAGAAAGUUUCCAUAAAUAAGAGCUGAAAUUUUAUGAUGAUUUAUUAUGGAAUUGGGACUGUAAGUUUAUUAUAUGAUGAUUUUAUGAAGAGAUUUUAUAAGAAUUGAUUUUUAGGACCUAAUUGUGAAAGUCGUUGUAAUUAGGGUUUUGUGUUAAAACUUUGAAUUUCAAAGGCUUGGAAGUAGUUAUAAUGUUUAGAUAAAAUGAUAUUUUAGAAUAAUUAGUUCAAUUGAUGAACAAAUUGAGCAAUGACUAAAUUGUAAAAAUUGAAAAGUUUGAGAAAAAAUGUAAUUUCAAAAAUUAAAGGGUAUAAAUUGUGAAGUAGAAUAGAAUUGAAAUAGAUGCUCAUGAGGGAAUGAUUUUAUAAUUACAGAUCAAGAAAACGAAGUGAAUCGUGGAAAGGAGAAAUUGCAAGAAUAUUCCCUGAAAUUUCUACGACUUUUGCAAAUCAGCCCAGUUAAGUUCAUAUGGAAAAAAUUAAUGUUUUGUUAUGAAAAUCUUAUGAUUUGAUAAGGUAUAUUAUUAUAGAUGAAUACUAUCAAAUUGUAAUAAUUAUGAAAUAAUAUUUAAGUAAAAGUACAAAUUAGUUGGAACAAUGGAUUUGAGUGCUUUCGUUCUGUGACCAUGAUGAAUUGAUGGAAAAGGUGUGAUAUGUGCGCCCGUAUAAGACCAUAGCUGGGCUAUGGCAUCGGUGCAAUGUGAUAUGUGCUCCUGUAUAAGACUAUAGUUGGGCUAUGGCAUCGGUGUGAUGUGAUAAUGUGCUUCUGUAAAAGACCAUAUUUGGGAUAUGGCAUCGGUAUGAUAUGUGACCCGUGUAAGACCAUAACUGGGCUAUGGCUUCGGUGUGUGAUAUGUGACUAUGUGCAAGUCUAUGGUUUUACCAUGGCAAUGUGAUAAUGAAGCACUCAAUUCCAUUAUUGUUUCCUAAUUUGACUAUGAAAGUAAAUGAGAAAUAGGCCCAAGAGAUCUAAAAUUGGUGAAUAGUGACAUUGAAAUCAAUCAAAUGAGUUUAUUAAUGAUUUGUGAUUUACAGGAAGGUUUAGUGAAAUUAAAUAUUAUAUGAUUGUGUGCAAUAUUCGGUAAGAUUUAUUUUUCUGUGCUUAUGAGCGUACUAAGCUUCAAUAAGCUUACUUGUGUAUGUUAUUUGUUUUGUAGAUUGACUUAUAUACAUACGGAGGAUUGGAUCUACAUCGAGGAUCACGCUAUCCAGAUUUAUUCUGGUAGAUUUUGUUAAACAACUUUUUGAUUUAUAUGGCAUGUAUAGGGUUGAUUUGAUAAUGUAAUAGUAUGAAUGAUUAAGUAUGUAAAGUAAAUUGAAUGCGAUGGUUGUGUUUGAUAAUGAAAUAUACAUGUUUUGGCUUGAAAUAGUUGAUUUGUUGGACUUUAUUAGUGUAUAAAUGUGAUUUUGUGCAGGAAAAUAUUAAAAGGGUGAGAAAAGAGGCAUUAAAUGACCUAUUUUCGUCCACACGAGUAGGCGCAGGACAUGUGUGACACACAACCUACUAUAUGGGCAUGUGAUAAGAUCGUGUGUCCCUUGCAACUUAAAAAUGAGAAUCAGAAUGUCCAGGUUUAGGCACAUGGCCUAACAUAAGGGCGUGUGGCUUGACCGUGUGACACACCCACGGGCUUUAACAUGGCCGUGUGAUACGGCUGUGUGAAGUCUGCACUUAAAAUGUGAAAUUUAAUUAUCACACGGCCUAGCAACACAGACGUGUGCUCAGGCUGUGUGACUCAAGUUUCUUCUUGAAUGCAAGUCAGAGAGCUCCACGGGCUUGGGACAUAGGCGUGCGUGACCACACAGCCUACCCACACGGGCGUGUCCCUAUCCACACGGGCGUGUGGCCCUGUUUCAUGAUAAUUUUUUUUAAAAUUUUCUAAAAGCUCUGAAAGUUCUUAGUUUGGUCCCGAUCUAUCUCCAACAUAUAUUUUGGGCCUCGUAGGCCCGUAUAAGGGACUUUAAGCAUGUGUUUGAAUAAUAGUUAAUUUGGAAUGAAGUUUUAUGAUCUGGUUUUGGGUGUUUAAUUGUGUUUAAGCCUGGUAAUACCUCGUACCCUGUUCCGGCGUAGAAUACGAGUAAGGGGUGUUACACAAGCUGGAUAAAAUUCUAAUUUUUGAUAAUGAUAGUAAUAACAAAUCAAUAUUUAAAUUAAAAUUAAAAUUAAUUUAGUAUAAUAUAAUUUUUGAGUUUUCGGCAAAGGCACUCAAUGAAUGCUUGGAAAGAAAUAAUGCAACUUAGUGAAAUAAUGCAACUUAGUGAUAGCUUUUGUUGGAGUUAUAUGCUGUUAUUAUAGUUUUAUGUUUUUAUCUUGCAAAAACAACAUAUUGGAGUUUUCGGUGGACUUUUAAGUUUCAUGAUUUUUUCCUAAUACUUUACGUGAAAAAAAUAAUGGUACUUAAAAAUCUAACAAAAGCUUCUCUAUAAUUUUUAUAAAAAAAACAUUGCUACAAUAUUACAACACAAAGUUACAAUAAUAGCUUAUAACUCAACAAAGGCUAUCAAUAAAUAAUCUCAAGCAAGUUAAAGAGAAAUGUUGAGAAUACCACCCAAAUAGUGACCGACUUUAAAAGUUGAAAACCCAAAGCUAUAGUAUCUCAAACGAAAUCAAACCAUAAAUAUUAAAAUUUUUCGAGUCUAUUAGCUACUGUAAAAAAAUUUAGCUCCAACAGACACCAAAUGAGCCUUUGAUUGAAGAAAAUACGAAAACUAGUCUAGGUAAACCAAGCUGCCAAACUUACUUAUCUUAUCUUUAAUCUGCCGUGAAAUUCAAAACUAAGUUUUUGUUUAUUUCACUUAGAACGACUUUCAAAAAAUUAUUUUUGAAAAAUGGAUUGAUUUUUUUGAAAUAGAUGAUAUUUUAUUGUGUUGAAACUUUAUUCGUUGUCUGAAAACUUUUUUUAAAUUAUUUUCUUAGAGUUAUUUUUAGUGAAAUAAACAUAACAUAAAUAUAUUUGUUAUAAAAAAUUAUAUUAGUAUUUUCUUUUGACAAUUAAAAUUUAUUUUAUGAUAAGACAAUAUUUUACAAUAAUUAAUAUCAUAUAUAUACGUAAUAAUAAAUCAUGUUUAAUUAAAAUUUAAUUUAAAUUAAAUAUAUUAAUAAAGCUACAUAUAAUCAUAUUUUAUAUAAUUAAAAUAUUAAUAUAAAUAUUUUUCAAUAAUAUAUUAAAAAUAUUAAAAUUUAAUAUUAUUAUUACUAAAAUUAAUUAUUAAAAUAAAAAAUGUAAUAUUAAAUAAUUUAUUGUAUUAUUAAAUAUAAAUAAUUAAAUAUGUAUUUUAUAAUAUUUUAAUAUUCUUAAACAGCCAUGUUUUAUAGAUGCUGGUGAUCGUGAUGGUGCAGGCCCUUCUUGUUAUAAUUACUAUAAUUUCUAGUGCAAUAAUUGAAGUUGUUGGGUGGUCAAGCAAACCUCUUUUUGACUGAAAUGCAUGUAAUAUACUGGGCGAAUCUAGAGGGGUUCGCGUGGUACCGGUCUCUCUAAAGUUUAAAAUUGUUAUUUAAAUUUUUAAUUUUUUUAAAAAAUUUUAAAUUUAAUAAAAGUAAAAUUAUAUUUUUAGCUCUUAAAAUUAUAAAAAUUAUAUUUAAUCCUUUAAAAGUUAUAAAUAUAUAGACUAAAAAAUUAAAAUUUCAUUCGGCUUAUUAAAAGAUUAUUCUGGCUUUGCUCUUGAUACCGAUGUUGAAUAUUUUAGAGUAUGUUUCUUUAACAUGGUUCAAUUAUAUAUUUAUAUAAUAUAAUUAUUGUUCAUGAAUGUGACAUCGUAACUAAGUUCAUAUGCAUGUCAACAUAUAUAUUAUUUUAGGGUUAAUACGUUUUUUUUAAAUGUGAGUUCACCUAUAUAAUGGUAUGAACCCGUCACGCGGUCUCAUGAAAUAUGCGAAUAUAUGUCGUGCGAACACAAAGUACGAACUACACAGAAUAAGGACUAAGACCCAAUUGGGUAAUCGGAUACGGAUCAGUAAUAAUGAAUUUCAUAACAGCCACCAUCCCCUCAUUUGUUCUAAUUUAUUUUAUUUCCAGUGAGUUAUUGUUUAUGAUAAUUCACAACAAAUGUUUUUGUCAUUAUUUUUUGGUAAAUAAUAAUAAGAUUAAACUCUACUUUCUUAAGCUCCUUCAAUUCUUUGGACGUUGGUGGUUUUUUAUUCUAAUCUUAUUUUCUUAUUAAUUUCUUUUUUAUAAUAAAUGUGUUUAUAGAUUAAAUUGGAUUAUAAUUGAGUCAUUGUAUGGAAUUAACAUAAUUCAUAUCGAUUAAAAUUUAUUCGACUGGAAAUACAAAUUUAAAAUUUUACUUCAAUUUAUCUUAAUUUAUAAAUGAUGAAUUUAAAUUUAUUUUUUUCUCUCAUUAUAUUCAGUUUUCCGGAUAAGAUUUGGCCCAGAACAAAAACUAUAACAAUAAAACAAAUAUAUAUGUUUUCCAAAAAUUAAAUUGUUAACUUUUAAAAAAAUAUUUUUAGCUAUUUCUCAUCAUUGAGAAUAAAAAUAAGGUCACCUCGCCUCAUGCUUCAACAACUCAACCUAGAUUCUCAUCACCUGUAUUUAUCAUCGAUUCAGAUUUUUAUUUUUACUAUAUUCAAGAACUACCUAUAAAUCUAUCUUCAAACUUCCUCUGGUUAAGUUCAUUCAUAGAUAGGUGAGUAAACUUGAGCUUCAGCUUCAACAAACACCAUAGUUUGAAGACACAAUUCUCUCAUACUAAAAAUAUGGAAGUUUACCAUGUAAUUAGAGAUUUGGUCUCAUUGCUUGUUGUUGGGUUAUUAAUGAUAUGGGGAUGGAGAACUUUAAACUGGGUAUGGUUGGCCCCAAAGAGGCUCGAAAGGUGCUUGAGACAACAGGGUUUUGCAGGGAAUACUUACAGGUUCCUUUCCGGUGACAUAAAACAGCUCUCAACUAUGGGCAGACAAACAAAAGCCAAACCUAUGCCUCUUAGUGAUGAUAUUGGGCCUUAUUGUUGGAGUUUCAACACACUUUAACCGGGUAAAGUAAGAAUUUUAAACAGAGCACUAGCAGCAACGUAUUAUACCCGGAUAAAAUAUGAAGGAAAAAUGCUUGGAGUUCAAGCUUUUAGCUACUGUCAAGAAUGAAGAACAGAACUUAGAAGUUUUUAGAAGGCAAAAAAAGAUGGAGCAUAUGGAAGAAAAUCUGAUGAUUUCAUUCAUUGAAACAUUGGCUUAAAGCCAUUACAUAUACCAGUCAUUUGGCUGGUCAAAAGAUUAACAAAUCCUUUACCUAAACACUACCUAACUCCACUAAUUACAUAGGGACUAGGUGAUUUUACUUGCAAACAUAAACAAAGAUGGUGAUCAGCUCUAUCACCAUCAAAUUACAUCAAACAUAAACUAAACUAAGUUCAAAAUGAACUAGAUUACAAAAGCAUAGUUAAACGGUAACAAAAUGUAACUGAGACGGAAAAGAAGUAUCAACCCCUUCAGUUGCAUGUAUUUUACUCGGGUAACUUGUGUGUAUGAAUUCUUGCACAUACUUUACCCGGAUAACAUAAGUGCAUUAAUUUUCACGUGCUUGAAUCUGCAUGGGCUGCAUGGGAACUAACUUCAACACUUAUGUUGCUCCUUUUCUUCAUCAAAUUGUCAACCAGUAUGGUUUGUUUUUUAUUUAUUUAUUUAAUCUUCAAUUUAUGAUAAUUCUUUGUUAUUUAUGUAUGGAAUUUAUUGGGAGGAAAUGCAGGAAAGAAUUCAUUUACGUGGUUUGGUCCAAGACCAAGGGUGAACAUUACUGACCCUGAAAAAAUAAGAGAAAUACUUAAACAAAUUUAAUGACUUCCAGAAGGUACAUACCAAUCCACUGCUUAAUUUGCUUGUAAGCGGCCUUGUUAACCUCGAAGGAGACCGAUGGAGCAAGCGUAGAAAAAUCAUAAACCCUGCAUUUCAUCAAGAUAAGUUGAAGGUAUAGAAUAGUGAUGGGUACUCAAGACUUUACAGAAAACAUCAUACUUAAACCUAUGCUUUUCUGAUUUAGAAAUAAUU
rnacentral:lncRNA from 1 species